AAUGACUCCCGCCAAUGGAUAUCUUGGCUCUUGCAUCGAUGAAGAGCGCAGUGAAAUGCGAUAUGUGGUGCGAAUUGCAGAAAUCCGUGAACCAUCGAGUUUUUUAACCCAAGUUGCGCCCAAGGUCAACUGGUCGAGGGCACGUCUGCUUGGGUGUCAUAU
rnacentral:rRNA from 1 species